GUGGUAGAGAGUGGGAUAGUUGUGGGAAAAAAGUGGUUAUUAUUAAUAACAAGAAGAAGAAGAAGAAAGAGAUGAUCAUAGGAAUAUUGAUAUGAUUAUCCAUUAUGUUGAGAACGAAGAAGAGAACAGCAAGAGGAAGAGGAGGAUGAGAGAUGAGGUAGAGGUUGCAUACACAUGAGGAUGAUGUCCUAGAAUGCCUGGUUGCUUAGGAGGACGAGCAGGGCGUGUCCACUGAGAGGUGGGAUACGAACACGGCAAGGCACCUUAUAUUUUGGACUACACUUAUCCCCAUCUCCCAUUACAAAGUUUAUCUCCUACAUUGACGUUGAUUGGGGUGGAUGUCCUAACACCAGACGUUCUACAUCUGGUUACUGUGUUUUUCUAGGUGACAACCUUAUUUCUUGGUCUUCCAAAAGGCAGUCAACUCUCUCCCGUUCCAGUGCUGAAGCUGAAUAUGGGGGAAUUGUCAAUGUUGUCUCCGAAUCGUGUUGAAUUCGCAAUAUUCUCCUGGAACUCCAUUUUCCUUUUCCUCGGGCCACUUUGAUGUAUUGUGACAAUGUUAGUGUCAUCUAUCUAUCUGGUAAUCUUGUGCAGCAUCAACGCACUAAACAUAUUGAGAUGGACAUUCAUUUUGUUCGGGAAAAGAUAGCUCGUGGUCAGGCUCGCGUCCUUCAUGUUCCCUCAAGACAUCAGAUCGUAGACAUCUUCACCAAAGGACUUCCUCGCAUUCUCUUUGAUGAUUUUCGGACCAGUUUAAGCGUACGUGAACCUACUGCUUCGACUACGGGGGUGUGAUAGAAUAUAAUAUUUUGUUAUAAUUAGUCAUAAUUAGUUUCCUAUAAUUAUAUUGUAUCAUAAUUA